ensembl:ncRNA ZC455.14 ncRNA
UAGGAUUCUGUUCUCUCUCUGAAGAACAAAAAAAUGUUUAAAAAUUUCAAAAAUUCGCUGCGAGCAGGGUUCGAACCUACGCGGGCAAUGCCCAUUGGAUUUCAAGUCCAACUCCUUAACCACUCGGACAUCGCAGCACGCCAUUUCAA